UGGUUUCGGCUAUCACUUACAGAUGGGCCCGCGGCGCAUUAGCUAGUUGGUGGGGUAACGGCUCACCAAGGCGACGAUGCGUAGCCGACCUGAGAGGGUGAUCGGCCACACUGGGACUGAGACACGGCCCAGACUCCUACGGGAGGCAGCAGUAGGGAAUCUUCCGCAAUGGACGAAAGUCUGACGGAGCAACGCCGCGUGAGUGAUGAAGGUUUUCGGAUCGUAAAACUCUGUUGUUAGGGAAGAACAAGUGCCGUUCGAAAGGGCGGCACCUUGACGGUACCUAACGAGAAAGCCACGGCUAACUACGUG
rnacentral:rRNA from 1 species